rnacentral:rRNA from 1 species
AUUGAACGCUGGCGGCAGGCCUAACACAUGCAAGUCGAACGAGUGGCGGACGGGUGAGUAAUGUCUGGGAAACUGCCUGAUGGAGGGGGAUAACUACUGGAAACGGUAGCUAAUACCGCAUACCAUCAGUUGUGCCCAGUUGGGAAUAGCUAGUUGGUGGGGUAACGGCUCACCAAGGCGACGAUCCCUAACUGGUCUGAGAGGAUGACCAGCCACGAUGGAACUUAGUCACGGUCCAAAGUCCUACGGUGGGCAGCAGUGGGGAAUAUUGCACAAUGGGCGCAAACCUGAUGCAGCCAUGACGCGUGUAUGAAGAAGGCCUUUGGGUAGUAAAAUACUUUCAGCGAGGAGGCGUUACCCGCAGAAGAAGCACCGGCUAACUCCGUGCCAGCAGCCGCGGUAAUACC